GCAGCCCCUUGAAGGAGAGAAGGCCCUCCCCCACCCUCGGAAGCUGGAGACACCACCUCUCAGUAUCUCUCCCUCUCAGUCCUUCCCCGUGGGUUUCCAGGUGAGCGACGACCGGCGCCAGGGCUUUUCGAGCUGAGAACUACAUUACCCAGAGGGCGCUGCGCCGGGCGCCGUCGGCGUGUAGCUAAUGAAGGCUCCUGAGAAGGGCAACUUCGACGACCGGCGCCAGGGCUUUUCGAGCUGUGAGAACUACAUUACCCAGAGGGCGCUGCGCCGGGCGCCGUCGGCGUGUAGCUAAUGAAGGCUCCUGAGAAGGGCAACUUCGUGCGUGCGCAUCACGUCGGGGCGGGACUUCGGCGUCCUCUUCGUGGCGGUUGUUUUGGCUGCUCUUAGGUCUGUUCGCUGAAUGACACACUUUGAUGCGCCGGUGGACACUGAGGUAACAGGACCGGGAAGGCGCGAGAGGAGGCGCUGUCCCCUGGGGUCCGCGGCUGGCGACGCCGCCCGGGCUGCCCCGCGCCGGGACGGGGACCGCGGGUCCGGGUGUCCGCUCCGCCACAGGGUCCGAUGGCGGCGGCCGCGCGCAGGGAGCCGGCUCCGAGUUCUGGAAGCGAGGAAGUCCAAGAUGAAAGUGCUGGCAGCUUCAUUUCCUGAGUUGUGUGACCUUUGAGGAUGUGGCCGUGUACUUCUCCCAGGAGGAGUGGGGGCUCCUUGAUGAGGCACAGAGGCUCCUGUACCACAAUGUUAUGCUAGAGAACUUUGCACUUACAACACCCAUGGG